rnacentral:rRNA from 1 species
GGGUCAGUAGGUUGGUCUUGCCACCGGUACGUACUGGUCUCACUGAUUCCUCCUUCCUGAAGAACCGUAAUGCCAUUAAUUUGGUGUUGCGGGGAAACAGGACUGUUACUUUGAAAAAAUUAGAGUGUUUAAAGCAAGCUAACGCUUGAAUACAUUAGCAUGGAGUAAUGAAAUAGGACGAUCGAUCCUAUUUUGUUGGUUUCUAGGAUUGACGUA